rnacentral:tRNA from 1 species
UUAAAAAUAAAAUAUAAAGUUUUUUAUUUUUUUGAGGUAAAAAAUUCAAAUUUUUGAAUUUUUAGUC